AAAGAAUUAGUUAAAAAAUAACAUAAAUAUGUCAAAUUUAUAUUAUUAUAUUAAUAAUAUUCUUUUA
rnacentral:tRNA from 1 species